UUGUAGGCAUAUAUCUAAAACAAUUAGACCUAGCAAUAAAUAAUUAAAAUUAAAAAGACGAUUUCAUGCAAGAAAAACCAGUGUUUUAACAUCAGUAUACCAUCAAAACAAGAGAGCUGUUAAAAAUAAUAAAUGUCUGGCUCUCGAGUCAGACGAGAGGUCGAGUCGACAUUGAGAUAAGAAGUCUUGACCAGGUUUAUAAAUACAUUUGACUUGUGAAAACUGAGCUGCUGGUUGAAGAUGUCGUCUGCUAACGGCCCUUUGGUUUUUCUCCUCGUAUGCGGCAUGUUACAGCUCACCUGGUCAGUUGAUGGGCCGGACCAAAUAGAGAUGGACUGUGUCCCACCAUCCGUCACCGGUUCGACGUCUGCCCCACCGGCUACUGUUGUGUCCGUGACGAGUUCCUGGCGUCCUACGUCUACUGCAAGAAGAUCGGCAAGCUGGACGACAACUGCACGACUAGGGAGACGGAGUCCGAAUGCCAUGCGCAGACGGACUUUACUGCAGGGCUAACAUCCUGGGCGCAUUUCCCUCCGUGUACGGGAAAUGUGCGGUGGACCCUAACGUCACAACAACCGUGUCUGGGGCUUCAGUGAUUGGAUAAAAAGCGCAGUACUCAAAGACAUACUUGUUUCUGAAAUGUUAACGAUAUGUUGGAAUAAAACGCCUAUUUUUAUCCACAAAUAAAAAUAAACUUUUACUGACUGAGAGAUUCGUGGAGAUGGAUUGUAUGUAAUUUUU